rnacentral:SRP_RNA from 1 species
UGGUCGGAGAGGGCGGUCUGGAGUUACUGAACCCGUCAGGUCCGGAAGGAAGCAGCGGAAGUAAUCUCGGGGACCGGCCCUCAAUCCCGAUCACC